UGAGGCCUUCAGCUUUCCUGGUGUCCUUCCAGAGGUCCCCCAGACUUUGUGUCCUGUAGAAGCUGCCACCAUGUACUUUGUUCUUUAGAGCAUUCCUGCCACCAGCCUGACCAGGAAGUGGGCACAGUUUCUUAUUUCUAUCACUCCUGAAGAGCAUCCCACAGGUGGCUCUCACUUUCUGGAUUUGAUGCUGAUUCCUGAGUAGAUAGGGAGCCCCAGGAUUUCAGGCUAAGUUCCAAGAUUCCCUAAUCCCACCAAGAUCACAACGUACUGUCCCUGGUGGGCACGCCGGAUGUUGUCUUUCUUGCACCUGGCAACUCAGAAAUGGAGGAUUCACCCGGUGCUCAGCAUUCUGCUCGAAGUUCGAAAUUCAACGAUGGAUAUUGUUCUGAUGAAACUGCUGCCACUGGUUACAUUAUGAAUCCUUAUUUUACACAGAUUUUUUGCUGAUUCCCAUGCAAACAAAUAUAUGCAUCCUUGAAAAACAGUUAUAAAGCCUCUACGGUUCUGUUAA